rnacentral:rRNA from 1 species
UACGUAGGUGGCAAGCGUUACUCGGAAUUACUAGGCGUAAAGGGCAGGUAGGUGGUUUGGUUAGUCUGUUGUGAAAGCUCCCGGCUUAACUGGGAGAGGUCAACGGAUACUGCCGAACUUGAGUAUAGGAGAGGUUACUGGAAUUCCCGGUGUAGCGGUGAAAUGCGCAGAGAUCGGGAGGAACACCAAUGGCGAAAGCAGGUAACUGGACUAUUACUGACACUCAGCUGCGAAAGCUAGGGGAGCAAACAGG